CAAUAGCGUAUAUUAAAGUUGUUGCGGUUAAAAAGCUCGUAGUUGGAUUUCUGCCGAGGACGACCGGUCCGCCCUCUGGGUGAGUAUCUGGCUCGGCCUGGGCAUCUUCUUGGAGAACGUAGCUGCACUUGACUGUGUGGUGCGGUAUCCAGGACUUUUACUUUGAGGAAAUUAGAGUGUUUCAAGCAGGCUUACGCCUUGAAUACAUUAGCAUGGAAUAAUAAGAUAGGACCUCGGUUCUAUUUUGUUGGUUUCUAGAGCUGAGGUAAUGAUUAAUAGGGAUAGUUGGGGGCAUUCGUAUUUAACCGUCAGAGGUGAAAUUCUUGGAUUUGUUAAAGACGGACUACUGCGAAAGCAUUUGCCAAGGAUGUUUNCAUUG
rnacentral:rRNA from 1 species